rnacentral:rRNA from 1 species
UCAGAUGUGAAAGCCCCGGGCUUAACCUGGGAACUGCAUUUGAAACUGUGUCAACUAGAGUAUGGUAGAGGAAAGUGGAAUUUCUGGUGUAGCGGUGAAAUGCGUAGAUAUCAGAAGGAACAUCAAUGGCGAAGGCAGCUUUCUGGACCAAUACUGACGCUGAGGUACGAAAGCGUGGGUAGCAAACAGGAUUAGAUACCCUGGUAGUCCACGCCGUAAACGAUGAUAACUAGCCGUUGGGGGGAUUUACCCUUUAGUGGCGAAGCUAACGCGUUAAGUUAUCCGCCUGGGGAGUACGGCCGCAAGGUUAAAACUCAAAUGAAUUGACGG